rnacentral:rRNA from 1 species
UACAGAGGGGGCGAGCGUUAUUCGGAAUUAUUGGGCGUAAAGGGCGCGUAGGCGGCCUUUCAAGUGACGGGUGAAAUCCCUCGGCUUAACCGAGGAACUGCCUGUCAGACUGGAAGGCUUGAGACCGGGAGAGGUGAGUGGAAUUCCCAGUGUAGCGGUGAAAUGCGUAGAUAUCCGGAGGAACACUGGUGGCGAAGGCGGCUUCCUGGACCGAUUACUGACGCUGAUGCGCGAAAGCUAGGGGAGCAAACGGG